rnacentral:lncRNA from 1 species
GCCACCAACCUCACAACGCUCUCCUCCUCCGCCGCCUAUAGAACGUCCCGUUCAGUCUCCACCUCCACCUUCACCGCCUUCAGAGCGUCCUGUUCAGUCUCCACCUCCACCUUCACCGCCUUCAGAGCGUCCUAUUCAGUCUCCACCUCCAUUUUCACCGCCUUCAAGUCGUCCCCCUUCAUCUCCUCCUUCUCCUUCGCCGCCUUCAGAUCGUCCCAUUCAGUCUCCUCCUUCACCACCAGAAAACACCAGUCCACCGCCUUCAGAUUCUUUGCCACCACCAACAUUCUCUUCUCCUCCGGUACCAGGUCCCAAUAAUCCACCUCAAAACAACCUUACUCCUAGUUCUCCUGAUACUUCAAAUCCAACUCAUAGUACUAGUGGCAUCGGUACUGGACCUAUCCUUGGCAUCACCGUCGCAGUGGCGCUUGUGGUGUUCAGUCUCAUUGGCCUCCUUAUCUGGUGCAUAAGAAGACGAGAAAAACGGCUUUCAGCUGUUAGUGGUGGCUACGUCACACCAUCACCAAGAUCAGGUACUACUUUGAUUAACAUGUCACUUUUGUUUCUUACAUAAUGCCAUUUCUUGAUCUCUCACUACACAUGCACAGACUCAGCUUUCUUUAGAACGCAGUCAUCUGCACCAGGGAGUCAUCGCACGUACUUCUCACAGUCACAAUCAGGCGGGUUAGGCAACUCAAAGGCCUUGUUCUCGUACCAAGAACUUGUCAAGGCAACGAACGGGUUCUCGGAAGAGAAUCUAUUAGGAGAAGGUGGAUUUGGUUGUGUAUAUAGAGGGGUGUUACCAGAUGGGAGACUCGUAGCUGUGAAACAGCUUAAAGUAGGUGGAGGACAAGGUGACCGUGAGUUCAAAGCUGAGGUUGAGACGCUUAGCAGAAUCCAUCAUCGUCAUUUGGUUUCCAUCGUGGGACAUUGCAUCUCUGAUGACCGUAGAUUGCUUAUUUAUGAUUUUGUCUCUAACAAUGACCUUUACUUCCACCUUCAUGGUUAGUAAAAAAGCAUUUUACAAUUCAUAUAUACAUGGAUGCACACACCACUGGUACUUACAUUACGUCUUCUGAAUAGUAUCCAAAGAGGUUCUGGACUGGGCAACACGAGUUAGAAUCGCUGCUGGUGCAGCUCGUGGACUAGCUUACCUCCAUGAAGAUUGUAAGUUGCUUCUCACCUCACUGGUUUUAACCUUUUCAGUCAUUUUUUCUUGCUUUUGAUUGUAACCUUUUAAACCAUUUGGCUAUUCUUACUGAGCUGUCUAUUGUCAGGUCACCCGCGGAUCAUCCACAGGGACAUUAAGUCGUCUAACAUUCUUUUAGAGGACAACUUUGAUGCUCGGGUAACACAUUACUCCCCCUAUUCUUGAUUUUUCAAGGUUUUAGUUACAUGGUGACUAGUGCCGGUCCUGAGAUUUGGGGGAGGCUUCAGGUGAUUUAGUAAAGGUUUUGAAUAAUUUUUUUUUUUACAAAUUUGGGAAACUAUAUCUAUAUAAUUCGUUUCAAAAAAUUUGUGGGCUUUAGGCUAAUGUUUCACUAGGCUAUGCCCAAGACCGGCUCUAAUUAUUGGUGAAUUUGACAAUAUCUAAACCUCUCACUCUCUUGUAGGUUUCUGACUUUGGUCUUGCAAGAUUAGCUCUUGAUUGUAACACUCAUAUCACCACAAGGGUUAUGGGAACAUUUGGGUACAUUCUUGCUUGCCUAGUUUUGAUUAAAGGGCACAAGAUUGGCAUCUACUUGAUAUUUUUUUUACCUCAUUCAUCCUUUUGCAGCUACUUGGCUCCUGAAUAUGCAUCAAGUGGGAAACUAACAGAGAAAUCAGAUGUAUACUCCUUUGGAGUUGUUCUUCUUGAGUUAAUCACUGGACGUAAACCUGUUGAUACAUCUCAACCACUUGGAGAGGAGAGCCUUGUUGAAUGGGUACACCUUCUAUUCCAACCUUACUUAACCUGUAAAACAUGAUUAGUCCUUGAGCUGUUUCCCAGCUCUGUUGUUGUUCAGGCACGGCCACUGAUAAGUCAUGCCAUCGAAACCGAGGAGUUCGGUUCUUUAGCAGACCCUAAGCUUGGAGGAAACUAUGUGGAUUCCGAAAUGUUUAGAAUGAUUGAAGCAGCAGGAGCCUGCGUGCGCCAUUCAGCUGCCAAGAGACCCCGGAUGGGUCAAGUACAUAACAUUUUCUCUUCUUGUUUACUCUCAAGAGUUUUUUACUUUUGCUUAGAAAUUUGAAAUGUUUUUAUUGGCAGAUUGUGAGGGCUCUUGAGAGUUUAUCUGCGGAAGACCUCACUAAUGGGAUGAGACUAGGUGAAAGCGAGGUCUUUGACUCAGCUCAACAGUCAGCAGAGAUCAGAUUGUUCAGAAGAAUGGCUUUUGGUAGCCAAAACUACAGUACAGAUUUUUUCACACAUACUAGCUACAACAGCAGAGACCAAAACGUGUAAAUAUCAUACACAAGAUAUGUUUUUUUUUAUCUUCUCGGCGUUAAGAGGGAACAAAACCCAUCAAGAACAGCUAAGUUUUGUCUGAAAAGCUCCCAAGCUCACUUUCUUGAGUGCUCAAAACAGUAUGAAUCUCCUUUUGUUUCUUUGUUUACUCUUAACUUGUGUUCAUGUUCUUGUGUCCAUAUGGUGAAACUAAAGAGACUACCAAAUACAAUUUGCAGAAACAGACGAGCAUGUGGUAGAGGAAGAUGAGGAAUAAAGGUUUACUUAUGUUCUUGAGCAAGAGGGUUUUGUUUCUUACAUGAAAGCACUUUUUGUAUCUAUUUUUUUUUAUGUUUCUAAUUUUUUUUUAAAUCUUUACCUUCAAGUUUUAUGAUAAAUCAACAAGGAUCUUUCUGUGUCUCGUUGAAGAACGUGUUGAUCUGGCUCAAGUUAUACAUCUAAGAAGACGCAUUUACCCCUAUGAAUCACCAUGAUGGAGAGUAUAAUCAAAGGAACGUAGGAAACAAAAGAAUCUUAGUUGCUUUGACGUCCAAGAUACCUAAACAAUGCUUUUUUAAAGUGUAAAGAUCCCUUGUGGAUUUUCAUACAGUUAUGAGAAAAAACAAACACAUGGGAUGUUGCUUUGCGUUGCAUUGUUGAUACCAAUAUUGGCAAAGGAACACAUUCCUUUGACACAAUCCUAUGUAACCUCUCAAUCUAUGUUUCCUCCUUCCUUUAUAUCUUUGUUGUUUUACCUUAACAGUUUUCAAUGCAUCAAAAACAAUGGAACAAGAUUGUGGUGCUUUUACAGCAGAUUGUGUUGUCCUCUGUUGCUGCUGUGAGUGCUUUAUCCUACAGUUCUUUAUCUUCGUCUUCUACAAGAUGCCUUCUAAAGUUGCUCACAAGAUGAAGAGGUUUGUCAUCAGGAGGCUGCUCAGAGGAAAGAAGAGAAGAUUGCUGCCUGCAAAGGAUGAGGAUUGCAGAGAAGAGGAGCGUUUGCCUGGUGAUGUCUCCAGAGUUAGUUGCAUGGAAGAUAUUGAGGAGAUGUUGCAUGAGCUCUCCAUGGAGGGAGAGUUUGUAUUUGGGAGUUUCUGGCGUCAAGGAGAGACUACAAACGAUUUUGACUUCGGAAACUCACAAUAUGAAAUAGAAGAAACCAAUGAUCAUUCCUUUGUCAUUGCUCAUCACACAAGAUGUCUUCAUUGCUCUAAGAAUGACAAUAUAUUAAAGGAAUCUUGAAAGAGCCAAAGAGAAAAGACUUAGAUGCUAUCUCUCUACUAGAAGUAUGGUGUAUAAUCUUCAGAGUUCACUGUAAGAAUCUACUUUGUUAAUCAGGCAAGGCGCUCAAGAAUCAGAAUGUACAACUGGUUAACAGUCUAUUUACGUCCUGGCAAGUCGGUUGUAAAAUGGUUAACUCAUGAUUCAGGCUCUGACCUCCUCACUGAUCUCUUUUUAGCUUCUAAUCUUGCGGUGAACCCAACUGUUGUAGGCCUUAUUGAUCUUUGCCUCACCAUAUCACAGUACUCAGGGUCAUUACACUGACCCUCAUACCUCAGCCACUGUAUCAUCCCAUGGUACAUUGGGAAGAACCUCAUCUGAACCGCGGAGUAGAUGAAGUAAGGCAGCAAAGUAGAUACAACCACAAAGAGAGUGAUGACCCAGUAAGAAAGCGACGGCGCCAGAGCUUCAACAAAGACUCUAUACGCACUGGUUGAUAUACUCGCUGGAAGCUCUCCGUAGACGGUCAUGAAGAGGUACCAAACGAGGAUGGAUCCCCAAAUGACAAUGUGCUGGAUGAGUGUGAAGUAACUGAUGGCUAAUGCCAUCUGCAAGUUCACAACCCAGACGAUGCAUGUGUACAUUGUCCCUCCUAAUAUCUCUUUCCCAGGGGUUUUGCCUUGGUGGUUGAAAGCUUGUGGCUCAAGAGAGCUUUUGCAGAGGAAGAAGAUGAUUACUGCGCUGUAGAAUCCGUUGAACAUCCAUCCAAGUAUCCUCCGCCAGCUGAAGAGAACGUUUUGCACACCUUCUUGGUAUAACAGUGGAAACUGUGAAUCCAAAGACAAAACAAAGAGUUUAGUACACAUUGUUUAAUACUCUCUCCGUUCCCGAAAGAAUAUAUUAAAAAUACAAUAUAUGGUUACAAUUAAAUUUAUUAUUUAUUUUUACUAUACACUUUCCAAUAACUAUCAACCAAUGAUAUUUAAUCAAUUUAAAUAAGUUUAAUUAAUAUUUCUUAAUUAUAUACAAAAGUACUUUAAAAAUAUUGAAAAUCUAGUAUUUAUGGAACAAGAGGGAGUAUGUCAGAAGAGUAAAGCUGUUUUAAUGUAAUGAAAGAAGUUUACCUUGAGACAGUACCGUGCAGAUACAUCUUGGUCGAAGACACCAAGAGCAAUAACCGGAAGGGACGAGAAGCAAACAUUGUAAAGAGAUAGGAACCAAUCGUUGUAAGCAGGUGUUGAUGAGAAUGUUGUGUAUGCUUCAUACAAGAAGAGAGUGAAACCAAACGUAAUGUUCUUGUAGAAGAAGUAGCAAAUCUGUGAAACAGAGAAAACUACUGUCAAGAUUAUGUUAAAGAGACUCAUGUCACACGCACACUAAAGUGGGUAUAUACCAUUGUUGAGAUACGCCUGUAACACCAGUGUCCAUGGACUAAUAACAAACGUUCCAGAUAUCUAAACUGAGCAAUCGCAAUGUCACUUGACAUUACAGCCUGCAUGCCUUCCACACCGCUGAUGCCCACACCAAUAUCUGCUUCUUGAAGCAUCCCAACAUCAUUUGCGCCAUCACCAAUAGCUAAUGUUGUUUUACCAUUUCCAGAUUUUACUAGCCUUGUCACCUACAUUUGCCAUGUACUUCUUGAGAAAAAUCUUGACAGUAAACAAAAGUUUAAACCAAAGAAACUGACCAGAGCUUUCUGUUUUGGUGAUGAACGACAGCAAAUGACAGAAGCACAACCAACGGCGAGCUCUAAGAAGAUGUGUUUUAUAUCAUCGUCCAAGGCGUAAGCAAGUGACUUCCCAUCAAUGAUCAAAGCAAAAGCAUCAGAGUUCCCACCAGCAUACUUUAGCUGAGUCUUUCCAUUGAUUAUCUGCAAUAAGACAUUCUCUUUUGAUGCCUGCAAGAUCAAACCAACCACUUUGAUUCAUUUUAUCUUACAUAAUCUUCUGAAGAACUAUCAAUGUUUUUUUUAAAAAACCUUAGCAAUGGCAUCUUUCUCUCCAGUUUUCUCCAGUGAGUGGAUCUCAGGGGUCUCCAAGUUGAUUAUGAUCUGCUUCAUGUCUUGUCUGAGUAAACUACUGGCAAAGCUGUCAAAGAGACGCAUACAAAAGAGUUCAUAGAGUGGAGAGAAUAAACAAACAAAAAAAACUAUAUACAUGAACUCAAAGAGUAGGUGAUACCCAGAAAAAUAGAUACCCAAUAUUGAUAGCAGUCUCCAUUUUGUCACCAGUCAAAACCCAAAUCUUGAUUCCUGCUUGUGCUAGCUUGUCAAUGCAAUCAGGGACCUGAAAAAAAUCAAUGUUAAAAGUGUUUUCAAUACACUAAAAUGAUUAUAUGUAUAACAUCAGUGGCCAUGCUUACUCCAUUUUGGAGUUUAUCCUCAACAGCGGUAGCUCCAAGAAGGAUCAAGUCUUUCUCAACUUUCUCCGUGACUUCCUCUAUCAAUGAUUCUCUAUCAGCACUAACCGAGCUCUUUGCUUCACUGAUUCUCACACUAAAAUCUUUGUAUUCUUUCUCGUCGAGUUCACGGUAUGCAAGUAUCAAAGUUCUAAGGCCUGCAUCAGCAUACUCGUUGACAUGGUCCCUUGUUUCCACCUCAAACUCUCUACCGUUCUUAGAAAGUCUCUCAAACAUAACACUGGUCAAAGAAACAAAAUAAGUUCAAAAAAGAAGAUAUGUUUUUUUUUUAAUAAAGUCACACUUACUUGUCUGCUCCUUUACAAAGUAGUAAGAGCUUCCCAUCUUCAUCCUGCACUAUCACCGACAUUCUCUUCCUUGUGCUGUUGAACUCAAGAACGUUCAGCACUUUGUACAGCCUCUCAACUCUUUUGCCAGUCACAAGAUCAAGCUCUCUUACAGAUAUACUAGUUUGAGUUCUGUUAUAAAACUCAAACCCAAGCUCCCUUGCUGCAAUAACAAAAGCUGCUUCAUCAGGAGACUCAGCCUCAUAAGAGAUCUUCUCUGUGUCCUCAUCCCCUUCAGGUAUCACCGUAUGGCACACCGCAAGCAAUCUCAAAAACUUCUGAAUAACAUCAGCGUGAGGUUCAGUGACCCAGUUCCCAUUCAUUAUCCUCUCAUCUCUAAAAUUAAACCCUUUCACCUUGGCCUCUUCAGCAAACGGUUCCUUAUUGUACUCCACAUCAUCGCUCUGAAGCACCAGAGGAGAGCCUUUCCUCCUUCCCAUAGCCAUCUCAACCUCAGUGACGCCGCGUCCGUAAGCCGUCCCGGCGACAGAACACUUGAUGAACUCCAUGGAGUUGCAAGUCAAUGUCCCAGUCUUGUCGGAGAGGAUUGUAUCCACCUGACCAAGCUCCUCGUUUAAAUUAGAGGUUCUUGCACGAGCCGGCUUGUUGGCUUCCUCGUAGUACAUGUGGAUGUCUUGGUUGAUGAAGAUGCUCUGAAGGACUUUAACAAUCUCUAUCGAGACAUACAAAGAUAUUGGAAUGAAGUAGCUGUACAGCAUAGCCGCUGUUAGGAAGUGAUAGAAGGCAGCAACAUGAGCUCUCUUGGGGUCAAAGAAGAUAGAUGAGCUGUCUGGUCUCAAGUACCAUCUCUUCACCACACUGUCCUUGAAGUCAUCUCUCGUUGUGACUCCAAAGAUGACUGAGCCAAUGAAUGACAUCAGAACCACCAUGAAGAACAUGAGGUAGAUGAUCUUAUCCAUCUUUCUCUCAAUCAUGCUUCUCUUGGAAGGAGGAUCCGUUGAGUUCUGUAUGACCUUUGUGUCGUGACCGGUGAAGAUAACCGCGCCGAAGAUGAACUCCGUGUUCCUGAGCUUUGAGUCUCUGAGGAGAAGCUGCUGAGGCGAGAGAGGGUACUUGGUUCCUUUGAGCUCCAUGGUUCCGACAAAGGAGUACAAGUUGGCGUUUGGAUCCUCGCAUUUGACAAAAGCCUCAAAGCCCUUGAAGUUAAAGUCUUCCCUCAAGGAGGAAGUGACUUCUAGUCCUUGUUUGACUUUGAGAUUGGUUUCGCCGUCUAGGUUCAUCGUCUCUACGUAGCAGAUAGCGUCCUCGUAGCUAGAUGAAAGGAGAACAAGAUCUGCAGGGAAGAACUGGUUCUUUUCUACCUUCACUAUGUCUCCGACGCUUAAAGUCUUCCACUCCUUGGAAUCAAAGUUCCCAUCUCCUCUAUGCACUUUUACUCUCCUAUUAUUCACCUCAAUAUCCUAAUAACAUGAAAAUGCUUGUAUCUUUCAGACAAGAUCAAGAAAAAGACUAGUCAUGGGCAUAUUAUCCGAAACCCGAAAACCGAACUGGAGCUGAACCGAAUAAACAAAACCAAAACCCGACCAAAGUUUACAAAAACUCGAACGGUUCCUAUUUCUCUAUUCUCUACAAAAAAAAAUGGAAACCCAACCUGAAACCGACAUUAUCCGAACCCAUCCGAUCCAAAAGAUUCUAUAUUUGCAAAUACUCUCGGAAUAAGAAAUCAGUGUAGGCAGCGUCUAGGCGCCGCUUAGUGGAUAAAUCGGAUCUGAAUGAAACGAUAUUUUCAAUCCAUUCUUUUAAAAAGAAAUUGGUCUAGAUGUUCAAAAAAUCGUUCUUGGCAAUAAUUCUCUAUGAUGCGCCUAACCACUACUUAGCGCGAUUUAUUGAACAUUAAACAAGACCAUAAUUAAGAUUGCAAGAAACUAAAGAAUCAAAGAGUGUACCUGCUUGUUGCGGCGCCAAUCUUCAACACCUUCUUUAACCAUAGUAGCACCAAUAACGAAAAGGAGAGGAAAAAUGGCACUUGCAGCAGUGUAAGGAGCCAAGGGAGUGAAAGACAAGACGCCAGUGACCAAGAAGUAGAAGUUUGCGACUCUUCUGAACUGCUCAAAGAGCGAUUUUGGUAAGAAAGUGGCGAGAGUGUACUUGGUUGUUCUCACGUAGUUGUCGCUGUAGCUGCUCGAGUCAGCUUCGGGUGAAUCAGGCUCGUUGAUGAAGACGAGACGAGAGUAACCGGGUCCUCCGAUUUGAGAGUGGUCUUGCUUGAAAAACGCUUGAGUGCAUGUGAGUGUGUAGAGCUUGCUUAAGUGGAUUCUUCUCCUUCUUCGUCUCUUUAGUCCACUUCCUGCCAUUGAUAGAGAGAGAUCUGCAGGAGACAACAAAAAACUUUGAAUCUUUUUUGGAUAUUCAAGAAACCCUGAAAAUUAUAUUCAGACAGAACCGAAUUAUUAUAAUAACACCCGCGAGAACAUUUUAAAAAUGAAGAAAAAUAAAAGUAUCAUUUUUUGGCUUUUUUAAAUUAAAAGAAAAAGAAAAGAAAAAAAAAAGACAGUAAGCGAUUAAGGCAGGACCUCAAACCAACCGAGGAGAAAAGCAGACAAGACCGUGACUGGUUUUAUUCUCCGACCUCGUUUUCUGCGACUCUCUCCGGUUACCUAAAUUUGUUUUUUUUCUUUCUCGGGAAAAUGGAUUUAGAAAAAUUGAGUGAGUGAGAGAGCUGAGAUCAAGAAGGGUGUUUACGAAAGGUUGUGAUCUAUUAUGAGAAAGUUAAGAUCUUUUUAAUCUUACAAGCCAAGAAAAUGGAGCUUGAGUGAGAGAGAUCUCAUGGAUUUUUAUGAAUUUAUAGCCAGAAUGAUCUUCUGCCAAUCCAAACAAACUGGGAAGACGAAGAGGACGAGGAAGAAAGAAACAGAGAGAAAGUGCCAAGAUUCGGACAAGUCAUGGUUCCCUUUCUAGAAAUAAUUAAUAAUAAUGUUUGAUGGAAUAACAACAGCAAAUCUCAAAUCCUCUCAUAAAAAAAAAUAAUAAUUAAAAGCAUUCAAUAGAAGGAAACAAACUUUUGCUCUGUGUACAGACAGAACACAGAAAACUGGACUUCUUUUUUUUUUUUAAUUUGUAUGUUCUAAUGAUUGUCAGAUUAUCAGAAGAACAUACGAGAAAAAAAAAAAGAAGUGAGAAUUAAUUUUGGUUAGAGAGGGGAGAGAUGAAGAAGGAGAAGAAUCGAUUGGAGGAACAUUAGAUGCGCCGUCGUGGCUGAGAGAAGGUGAGACCAGCACACAAAAUGCGGGUCAAACACACUUUAAAUUCAUCUAUUGCAUGAAUGAAUUCUUCUUAUUAUUAUUUAAUAGUAUAGAUAUUCUCUCUUUAUUACUUCCUCCCUUUCGAUAUAAAUGAUGUCUCAGGUGAUUUUUUUUAUUUCAUAAUAGAUGAUAUUUUCACGUAACAAUAGAUGAUGUUUUCACAUAUCUAAUUAAUUUUAAUUUUAUCAAAAACUGUGUAGCCAAUUGUGUUUUUAUUAUUUUUGUUUAUAAUUAAAUAAAUUAGUUUUAAAUUAUAUUUUAAUGAUUUUUGUCUAGAAAAUAUAAUUUUUUUAAUAUGUGUGCAAAGAACCAAAACUUUAUCUAUUAUGAAACGGAGGGAGUGGUAUAUAAGUGACUCUUGCAGCAAAGGAUUGAUCCUUCUGGUAUAACCCAACCAUAAAUAGGAGGACUGUACAUUUAAUUAGAGUAAUUAAAAUGUGAUAUUAUUCUAUUUUUAAACCAUUAUAUUAUAUAUGCUCAUAUUACUUUUCUUCAUUUUCUCUUUGACUAAUAAUAUAUAUAAUGAGUACAACUCUAUAAAAAUGGAAUAAUUAAAUAUAAGAUGUUCUUAUGUUGAUUGCAAAAGUUCAUAUUAUAAUGAGAGUACUGAUGAACGAAGGUAGUCACGUCACAUAAGACUCACCAAAAGCACAUUAAAAUCGAUCUUCCAGUCAUAUUAUUAAGUUGAUCCGAUCCCACCAGACAAAACCCCAGUCUCGAGAUCAUAUGGAGAUAUCUUUUUUUAUGAUACUGUUGGAUUGCUUAUAGACUAUAGUGAAGGGAAUUUUUAGCUAACUCAAUCAGAUCCGAUCCAAUACAAGAAUGGAUGGUAGUUCAAACAAUUUAGAUAAAUGAAUUUAAACAUGGAAGAUCAUGAAUGUCAACAUAUCAUAUGCACAUUUUUGUUUGGUUUAAAAUUCAAAAUCCCACAAACACUCAAUUUAUCAUAAUAGUGCUAAUAAUGAAAUAUUUUUUUGCUCAAUGAGUUGGGGGAAGGACUUUAUAUUCUCAAGAAUUUGGUAUGGGUUAUUAGGGGACUUUGGAUUUAAUGCAUAAAACAUGCCACCGGCUUUGUAUAGUUUGGUAUGCAUCAUUUAUUGAAUGAAUGUGGCUUUCAAGUUUCAACUAAAUGUACUUCCUGGUUCACAAAUACCUCAUAAUUUAUUAAAAUGAAAAUUGAACAAUUAUAUUGAUUCAUAUCGUUAGUUUUGCUCUGUUUGAAACGCUAAUGCAUGCAAUUAAUCAACUUCCUCUUGGUGACAAAAAAUAAAUAAACUAAACGUCUGUUUCUGCCUUUCUAGGUAUCACUUAUGUAGAGGCAUACUUUUUGUUUGCAGCCUCUUAGGUUUUCUCCUGUUUUAGCCAUUACUAUGCUACAGCAAUGAAAGGUGUGUAAAAUCUAUAAUAGAUUCUAAAGAUCACGAUCAAUUAUUUUAUGCAUUUUGUUUCAUGCACACGCAAUCAUCGUAAUACCUAAUAGCGCUGGGAAUUUGAGUUUACGGUUCGGGUUAAGUCGGGUUAUUCGGGUUUCAAGUUAUUGAGGUUGUGGUGUUUAGGACUCGCUCAUGAACCGAACAUUUUUUUGGAUAGGGUCAGUUUUGGUCGGGCUCCUAUCUUUUUAUAAAACCCAAAACAUAACCGAGAAUUAGAAAUUGUUCGGAUUUAGUGUGUGGCGUUUGAUUUUGACUGCGAGGGAUCUUCCGCCGGAAUGGUUUCCGCACGACCCGGAGUGGACUUCUUCCAUUAUUCUUCGAGCUUUCUCUCCCUCUACGCAGGUCAUGAGUGGCCCGGAAAAUCUCCACUUGUAGAGUUCUCCGUCGACCAAGACGUAUCGCGCGGAUUGGGUCUUAAUCUUUCGGGCUGCCCAUUUUUCUGCCGGGAGUUUCCGUCGGCGAUGUAUGCGAGGAUAGAUUAUGUCCAAGGUUUACUGAAUCCAUACUCGGACAGCUCUGGAUCCUGCACUGCCUGGAUGUCGACUUCGUCGGGAUCGCCGUCGGGUGAAUCGAUUAAGUUUAUAAUGACAAGAGGCCCGAUGCUAGGAUGCUCUAUGAACUCUAUGGGAAUUACCCUGCUCAACCCCGGAUCUGAACUAGACGCCAAGGCGGCUAGGGCGUCGACCUGAACGUUUUCGGCACGAGGGAUCCGAGUGAGAGCGAACUGAUCGAAACUUUGAACCAAGUUUUGAACAAGAUUUAGGUAAGCAUCCAUUCUCUCGUCCCUUGCUUCGUAUUCCCCGUUGUAUUGGCUUGCUACAAGUUGGGAAUCGCAAUAGGCGUGAAUGCUGCGUAUCUUCAGGCCGUGAGCCAAUCGUAAGCAUGUGAUUAGGGCUUCGUACUCGGCUUCAUUGUUUGAGGCGUGGAACACUAGUCGAAAUGACUGUUCAGCACUUCCCCACAAACUUGACUAGCAAUUACAGCCAUAUACUUUGUUAUUACGUCCAUUGACUACCAUUUUACAGUCAUAGACUUCAUUACGUUUAUUGACUUACGUGUGGUAUACUUUUUUAUUAAUAAAUUAUACUUUAUAUAUAAUUAUUUUAAAAUUAAAUAAAUAAUAUUGUUUUGUAUUUUGGAUAUUCGAUUAUUUGUUCGAUUUCCGAUGGUUCUAGUUUUUUGGGCUUAGAGAAAUAAAAACUGUUCGGAUUAUUAUAAAUUUUGGUUUGGUUUCAGUUUUGCUUUUUUCUGAUUUGGUUAUAGUUCUGUUUUGGGGUUUUGGAUAAUAUACCAUAUUAAGUAAAUCAUCUUAACGUCGUUUUAGCUAAAUCACUUUCCUAAAUUUUAGUAGAGUUAAACAAUGUUCAAGCUCAUUUUAAAGAUCAGUCCUGUGAUUAAAUUUGUUGACGAUUGUUCGUCGUCAGCGAAUAUCGUUGAUGCUAGUUUUUAUAGUGUGCAUGGAUAUGCUGUAGGCGUUUUAAACGUUUAAGAAUAAACUUGACUCAUCUUGAGUUUGGGAUCUAGUUCCUUUCUUUGAUAUUUGUUUGCGGCCAAGCAUUACAAUAACAUGAAGGGAGUUUGGAAGACAUAACAAAAUCUUUCCUAGUGGUGCUCAAUUAUAAUACAAAUGCGCGCGAUUGACCCCAGGGGAGGGGGGGAGAUUAUUGGGCCAUAUUGGACCGAUGUAUCUAUUGUAAGUAGCCCGGUUCAUAUUACGGGAUUAGGGCAAAAGAACAUACGUUGUAUAUAAGCAGUUAGUCUGCGUUACUUGAUGAAUAAGAAGUAUCCUUUAUACUGCUGAGACUUCUUGACAUGGUAUCAGAGCAAGAAGCCUAAGUACUACAAGUUUUCUUGGCUCACUGAUUUUGAGAUCUCUUUAUCCGUUGCGAGGUUUGAUAAGUUAACAACUUCUCUUUGAAGCAAAGUAUAUAUGGCUGGUACUACAAUGACGAAGGGGCGACGUACAAUUUCGCCCUAUGACCUUACUUCUGGCGAUAACACAGUGACUGUCAUUGCCAAACCGCCUUUGCGUGGAUCUAACUACGACGAGUGGUCCACAGACCUUAAGUUAAAGAAAUUUGGUUUUGCGGAUGGGACAAUACCGCAACCCAGUGAAGAUUCAGAGGAUUAUGAAGAUUGGAUCGCAAACAAUGCACUUGUGGUAUCUUGGAUGAAGUUGACGAUUGAUGAGAACAUCUCAACUACCAUGUCUCAUAUCGAUGACUCUCAUGAACUCUGGACUCAUAUACAGAAUCGUUUUGAUGUUAAGAAUGGACAACGCGUUCAACGUCUUAAGACUGAUCUAGCGAACUGUAGACAGAAGGGAACUGUUAUUGAGACUUAUUAUGGGAAACUGUCUCUGUUAUGGAGGAGUUUAGCUGACUACCAAAAGGCUAAAAUUAUGGAAGAAGUAAGAAAAGAACGUGAGGAAGAUAAGUUGCAUCAAUUUCUCAUGGGGCUCGAUGAAACACUAUAUGAAGCAGUUAAAUCAUCAUUGUUGUCUCGUGUGCCUUUGCCAACGCUUGAGGAAGCGUACAACACUUUGAUUCAAGAUGAAGAAUCAAAACUAUUGGGACGCAUGAAUGAAGAACGCACUGACACUGUGAGUUUUGCAGUCCAAGCUGGCUCACGAUCGCGCCCUUCUAAUGAGAAUAGAGGAUUUUCUGAAAACAAAGUCUGUUCAAAUUGUGGUCGCAAGGGACACACGUCGAAGAACUGUUUUCGCCUAAUAGGAUAUCCAGAGUGGUAUGAAGAGAAACACAAGAACAAGCUGGGUUCCUCUCGCGGCAAUUUGAAUUCUGGUGCUGGGCGUGGCUCGAAUAUGCAAGGUGGUGUUUCACAAGGAAGGGGUAAUGGUGCUGGUCGGAGCUCUGCUCAGGCGAGUCAUGUUUUUGCGGGUGGAGCUUCAUCAUCUCCUUCUCUUACUUCAGCUGAUCGAAUGGGCAUAAGUGGACUGAGUGAUUCUCAGUGGAAGACACUUGUUCACAUGCUCGAGGAAAGAAAAACCACACCUAUGGAGCAUCGCUCUGGUAAGCAAUUUCUUGAAUCAUGGAUAUUUGAUUCUGGUGCGACUAAUCAUAUGACUGGAUAUUAUGAGUAUUUGUCUGAAGUUGGUGAUAUGGCUCCUGUUUUAAUCAAACUUCCGGAUGGUCGUUUUACUACUUCGACUAAACACGGAUACGUUCGUUUGGGUUCUUCUUUGAGCCUGCAGGAAGUAUUCUUUGUAGAUGGACUUCAUUUUCAUCUAAUAUAUGUUUCUCAGUUGACUCGAGACAGUGGUUGUGUUUUUCAAGUUACUGACAAGCUUUGUAUUCUUCAGGAUCGCAUCACGAGGAUGCUGAUUGGUGUGGGUGAGCAGGACAAUGGGCUUUAUUUUUUUAGAGGAUUGGAAAUGGCAGCAGCAGUACACGGUCAGAUUCGAACUCGACCGAUGUGUGGCACAGUCGCCUUGGACACCCCUCCUCUAAAGCCUUAAAGAUGUUGCAGUUUUCUGAUUUCAGUACUAGUUCUUUUGAUUCAAAGCUGUGUGAGAUUUGUAUUCGAGCAAAACAAACAAGAUAUUCUUUUCCUUUAAGCAUCAAUAAGACGAGUUUUGCAUUUUAACUGGUUCACUGUGAUCUUUGGGGUCCGUAUAGGACUACUGCAAUCUGUGGAUCGAGAUAUUUUCUCUUUGUUCUAGAUGAUUACUCUUGGGCAGUGUGGAUAUAUCUCUUACCUUCAAAACAAGAGGCACCCACGCAUCGCAAAAACUUCAUCGCUUUGGUUCAGAGACAAUUCUCGAUUCAAGUAAAAACAAUUCGUAGUGACAAUGGAUCCGAAUUUGUUUGUCUCUCACGUUUCUUUGCGGAACAUGACAUCAUCCAUGAGACAAGCUGUGUGGGUACUCCACAACAAAACGGACGGGUUGAACGGAAACACAUGCACAUACUUAAUACUGCACGUGCGCUGAGGUUUCAAGCGAACCUCCCCGUUGAUUUCUGGGGUUUAUGUGCUCUUACUGCUGCAUACCUUAUAAACAGAACACCGACAAAGCUUCUUCAAGGGAAAACGCCGUUUGAGAUGAUUUAUCACAGAUCACCACCAAUGGAUCAUCUCCGAGUAUUUGGUUAUGUUUGUUACGUUCAUAACCAAAAGCAUAGAGGUGAUAAAUUUGAAAGUAGAAGCAAUCGAUCAAUAUUUAUUGGGUAUCCUUUUGCAAAGAAAGGAUGGCGUGUCUACAAUUUAGAGACCGAUGUUGUAUCAGUCUCACGGGAUGUGGUAUUUCUCGAAACAGAGUUCGCGUAUCCACCAACAUCGAUCUCUUCUCCGACUGAUGAUGAACCUGAUCAGCCUACUGCAGCUGAUCCGAAUGAUCUAGACUCUCUAGUUAGAGAGAGUGCAUCGCCUAUUCCUACUACUGGAACGAUGCUCCCCUUGCUAUUGCAGCUGAUGUAGCUCAACCUAUUCUUGCAGAUGCUGGAUCUUCUUAUGUCAUCAUUGACGAUAGCGACGAAGUGGGAACUGUGUCUCUGCCUUCGCUUGUUCUUACUCCUGAACCGGUGGUAGUUGCGCCUCCUGUUCAUACUACUGAAGAAGCUACUUCUGAAUAGGAACCUGAACCUCUUGGCCGAGGUUUUAGAUAGAAGAAGCCACCUACAUGACUUGCUGACUAUGUAGCAACAUUGUUACAUGAACUGACACUUUCGGCUACUCCAUAUCCUCUUGAAAAUUAUCUUUCCAGCGAGCACUUCUCAAUGAAUUAUCAAGCGUUCCUUGCUGUGAUAACUUCUGCUGUUGAACCACAGACUUACGCAGAGGCAAUCAAAGAUGAAAAAUGGAGAUUUGCAGUAACUCAUGAAAUUGAUUCUCUUGAAGAUCAAGGUACAUGGACAGUCGAAGCCUUACCUCCUGGAAAGAAAGCACCUGGUUGCAAAUGGGUAUUUAAAAUUAAAUUCAGAGCAGACGGCACGGUUGAGAGAUACAAGGCUCGGUUAGUGGUUCUUGGGAAUCAUCAAUAUGAAGGCAUUGAUUAUACUGAGACGUUCGCACCUGUCGCAAAGAUGGUUAUGGUCUGUACUUUUCUUCAGCAAGCAGUAUCUUUAGACUGAGAAGUACAUCAAAUGGAUGUUAAUAAUGCAUUUCUUCAUGGAGACCUCGAAGAGGAAGUGUAUAUGCAGUUUCCUCCUGGUUUUCGUACCAAUGACAAAACAAAAGUAUGUCGUUUGUGAAAAUCGCUUUAUGGCUUAAAGCAAGCGCCUCGAUGUUGGUUCGGAAAAAUUGCGGCUGCUUUGAAAGAGUAUGGUUUCGAAAAAAUCAUUCUGAUUACUCUCUCUUCAUUUAUGCUGCAGCUGGAGUUCGGUUACAUGUACUUGUGUACGUCGAUGAUUUGAUCAUCACUGGAAGUUCUGCUGCGAUUAUCACUGAGUUCAAACAGUAUUUGAGUACGAAAUUUCAUAUGAAGGAUUUGGGAGUCUUGCGAUAUUUUUUGGGGAUUGAAAUUGCUCGCAGUCCCGCAUGAAUUUACUUGUGUCGACGGAAGUAUGCUCUGGAUAUUAUUACAGAAACUGAUCUUCUUGGGGUCAAGCCUGUCUCGUUUCCUUUGGAACAAAAUCACAAGCUUGCUCAUGCCAAAGAUACUCCAUUCUCUGCACCGUCCAGAUACCGUAGACUGAUUGGUCGUAUCAUAUAUCUUGGAGUCACGAGACCAGAGCUUUCGUAUGUGAUACAUUUAUUGUCGCAGUUUAUGAAUGAUCCGCAAGAAGAACAUUGGAAUGCUGCUCUUCGUGUUGUACGAUACCUAAAGAAUAGUCCAAGACAGGGAAUACUUCUUCGUGCAAACACUGAGCUGAAGAUUACAGCAUGGUGAGAUGCGGACUGGGGCACUUGUCCGACCACUCAUCGUUCACUCACGGGAUGGUUCAUGCAAUUAGGAGGUUCUCCGGUAUCUUGGAAAACACAUAAGCAUGAUGUUGUCUCGCGAUCGUCUGCCGAGGCAGAGUACCGCGCAAUGGCUGAUACUGUUAGCGAACUUCUUUGGUUUCGCGGGUUGCUUCCAGAAAUGGGGAUAACGUGUGAUGCUCCUAUUGUUCUCCAUUCAGAUAGUAUGUCUGCAAUUCAUUUGGCCAAGAACCCUGUGUAUCACGCUCGCACCAAGCAUGUUGGGAAUGAUUGCCACUUCAUUCGAGAUGAGAUCAUUCGAGGCACGAUUGCAACUAAACAUGUCUCGACGAAGUCGCAGCUCACGGAAAUUAUGACAAAGGCACUGGGACGUCGAGAGUUUGAAGAAUUCCUUGGCAAGCUGGGUGUUUGUAACCUCCACACUCCACCUUGAGAGGGGGUAUUGGGCCAUAUUGGGCCGAUGUAUCUAUUGUAAGUAGCCCGGUUCAUAUAACGGGAUUAGGGCAAAAGAACAUACAUUGUAUAUAAGCAGUUAGUCUGCGUUACUUGAUGAAUAAGAAGUAUUAUUUAUACUGCUGAGACUUCUUGACAGAGAUGGUUAAGAACGGGAGAAGCGAGAGUAGGUUCAUUUUUGUCAAAAUGUGAUCUAAGGUCUAAUUUUCGUGUCUAGCCAGCUUAUAAACGUCAUUGAAGAAAAUAUAUGUACCUCUGACAUAAAGUGUGUGAUCGUGGAUUCGUGGGUAUAUCUUAGCUUUAGUGUAUUCGAAUUCACGAUAUGUGAAGAUGUACGUGACUUAGAGCAGGAUUAUCGCGGGUUACAAGAAGGGGUUUCAAGUGGUGGGACCCAUUUUUUGGGUUAAAAACGGUAACAGAGGAGAGGAAAUAAGGAUCGACUUUGGUAUAUUUCUUGCACUAUUCAUAGACCCCACUGACACGUGACGACCCGCGAUUGGUGGUCUUUUUAAUUUUUUUUUUUUUUAAUCAGCUUGAAAAAAAAAUGGGAAAAUUUGUGCCUAUGAAAACCUGGUCUUAACCUUAGUUAAUUCUAGAUGAAUGGCCUAGUGCGUCGCUCUCAAUGGAAGUAUUUUAGUUGUUAUUGUGUCACUAGUCGAGUUUAAUAUUAUGAAUUUUUUUUUGACAAUUUUAUUAUAUUUUGAUAAUUGGUACGAAGUGAUAUUUAUGAGGUCAUUUGUUUUUAAUAUUUGUUUUUAAAAUACACAAAAGUACAAUAAAAAUAUUUUGUUUAUUACAAAAGUCAGCAAUAGAAACUAUCAUAAAGUCACAAGGUACAUAUACGCAUAAAUGAAGUAUUACGGGUGAUCUUAAUUUGUAGAAUUGAUCAUCACCAUAUGUAUUAACUCAACUUUUUACUCUGUACGUAUAAACGAUUUGCUUCGUUCACUCUUAGAAUCAGAACUCUAAAAGUUAAUUAAUUGAUCAUAUGUGGUACACUGGUACUUGUCAUUAUGGCACCAAGCGAAUUUCACUUUACGGCGAAUGAGAACGCAUCCGAUUUUUUCAUAUAACUAACGUUUGAAUUGUUUUCGAGCAUGAUUAACCCAGAAUUCUUAGAAUAGGGUUUUUAGCGGAAGUUAAGAAUCUCACUGUAAGAACUCCGAGUUAAUCGUGAUCUUAUGUGGCAUGAAUUAUCUCAGAGUUCAGAGGUCGACUCGUAUUUUAUUAUAAUAUGACAUCGAUGUGUGCUAAUUUAAUAUUUUUUAUUGAUGGCUUAUCCAGUAGUUUAGAAGUUGUUUAAAAAGUUGAGCAAAUAGAUUUUAUAUGAUUCGUAGACCGAAUUCAAGAUUUGGGAUUUUCUCAAAAUAUCUGAAUUUGGGAUAAUUUUGUUUAUUAUCUGGAUAUCUAUACUAAAUUCUUAUGCUUAUAUUCUAACUACCGUGAUAACACGUAAAUAUAUUGUAUAUAUGUCACUUUAUCCAAAUACUUUUAAUGCAUUUGUCUAAACAUGAGAAAGUCAGCAGUCUGCAGUAUUUUCGUAUGCGUUUAAUCCGGUAAAUCGAACUAAUACAAUGUUAACCUAAUUAACAAAUCAAUUCAGAAAACUAAAUAUAUUUGAUUAUGUUUUAAAUAGAAUCAUGUUUUUUCAUUGGGAAUCAAGAUAAAAGUUUUACAAUAUAUAUAUAUAUAUAUUUAAAUUCAUAAAUCAGAAAUCUUAAAAGACAAAAUCUAAGAGGGAACCUAAAUUCUGAUUAAACAACACCGCUAUUUAUUUCUCUUACCGAAACACUCGAGCUGUAUUGUAUGCGUGGUGACCGUUUGGCACGAAAUAAUUUGCAUCUAUUCGUGGGUCGGGUUCACUAGUCAAAGUAUCGAUUGCGUAACUUUUCAAGUUACUGGUCCGUUGAUUUGUGGUAAUUCUUGGCACAUCUAAUCUACGAUAAAUUAAAAUUAGUUUUCUAUUUUAAAGUUGUAAUAUACUAUGAAUUUAGCUUCAAAAAACAUAAUUUGUUUUAUGCAAAUGCAACGAGAUGCCACACUCUCAAUAAUGUCGACAUGAAAAAGGAAAAUAAGACUAAUAUGCCCAUGAGAAUAUCCCCAAGAUUCCCCAUGCAAACGAGAGUAGCUACAGUAAUUAUAUAAUACAAAUCAUGUCUUAUAUAUUCAGUUAUCCCUUAUUGUCAAUUAUUUACAAAGCCUACCAUAAUUUUCAUUAAGCAAACAUACAUUGAAUAAUUACAUAUAUUGACGCAGUAAUAUAUUUCGAACACGAUGAUAGAGAUACACAUACUCCCUAAACAUGAUCCAAAGUACUCAUAAAUCUACCAAGCUACAAAACGGUGUCCAACAUUUGAUUAUUUGUAAUGGUUAUUUAUAUAUCUUCGGUGGGUGUCUCCUCAUCGGUAUCAGGCAAAUUAAAGAAAACAAAAGCAAAUAAGUUUCUAAAUUGCCCGUACGUGUGAAGUUUGAACAAUUUAUUAGUAAUGCAGUAGUAAUGCAUGAUACCGAUUAUUUAUUCAUGAAUCGACGUUGACGGGAAGAAAAAUAAUAAUUGAUGUUGACAUGAAUAAGGAGAGCUUGCCACGAAGAUGGUAGGAGCCGACAGAAAGCUAAAGUCCAUAAUUAAUUAUUUUGUUAAAAGAUAGUACUAAUGAUCGACUAUAGACCAUAACUUAGUAUUCCUCAUUUAUUAUUGUCUAUUUUCUACCAGCGAUGAUAAACACAAAUGAAACACACAGCAAAUUGUAAAUUCUGAUUCGAGAUGCAAUCUUAGAAACCUUAGCAAAGAAAACUUUAGAAUGCAACCAAACCAACUCAAAGUAAACCGAAAGAAUUAAUUGAGUCGAUGUUCCAGUUUUUGGAAGUAAAACCUCCAUUAUAUGCUGGUUAAUUACAUUUUUAUCAUUAAACUUUGAAAUGUUAUAAGAGAUCUAUGUUUAUUUAUUUAUUUGUGAUUAAUUAAUUCUCUGAUAUUUAUUGGAAAUAUUUGGAUUAUGCGGCCAAUAUAAUUUCUUUUAAGUGCUUGUAUAAUUAAAUAAAGUUGGUAGCCAUAUAGUCUAAAGUUGUGAUUGGUAUUUACGAUACUUUUUCCCUAAAGAUAAUUACUUUAAGAUGUUGACGAUGAAAUCCACGCGGUUUACGGAAUCUUCAGUUAACCGAGACAAUUAUUCCAUUCCAUCAAAUGUGAUUUGAGAAAUUAAUUGAAUGCUAAAUAUUUUCUCAAUCAUGGUUAACAUUUUAAUUUAGACUUCCGUAUACUUGACAUUUUCUUUUGCUUUUUGCUUUUUGUAUAUUGUUUACACUCUACAAACUUGAAUACACAAUAACAACAAACACAAUCCAUUAUCAGGUGUGCAACAUAAGUACAUUAAGUAGGGAACAAAACCAACGGCGAGACAGUGAAGCAACUUCUCUCGCACAAAAAAUCUUGUAAAAACAAUUGAUAAAAAGCGUUUAAAAUCGUCUGAUGUUAAGCGAAACAUAGGAAAUACAUAGUAUGAGGAUAUACAAUAACUUGCUACCUAUAACUAAACAGUAUAUAGAUUUAUCGCUAAUUAUUGAAUUUGUUUAGACUAAUGAUUGUGCUACUUUUGUAAUCUCUAAAUUAUCAAAACUUAUUGGACCAUAUAAAAUUAAGUGGAAGGUUGUUUCAUAUUGUAUAAAUAUCAUAUCGGAGACUUGGCAUUUCCGAUGAUAUUUUUACGUACACAUCCCAUUCGUAUCAUCUAAGGACACCACUUUGGUCAGUACAAGUGUACAACAUCUUUGGUCUUUUUUUCGUCAUCCUUUUGACGCAAUUAUAUGUAACUUUAGUGUUGUCUUAUUUUCUUUUGCCUCUUCGAUCUCUCUUUUUUUUAUUACUACUUUUAGAGCUACACUUUACGUUGCUAAAAAAAAAACUACACUUUAGAGCAUCUCCAAAAAACAUUAUAUAACUUCAAAUAUGAAGUUUUUUGCUCUCCAAAAAAGAACUUCAAAACUUCAAAUUUAAAGUUUUGAGGAGUCAAACUCUAUAUUUGAAGUUUCACUACUCAAAACUUCAAAUUUGAAAUUUCAUAUUUUUAUUUGUAUUUUGGUCCAUACAAUUACACAUCACAUUUAUAAUUCAUAAUUUUUUUAUUAUUAUUUUCAUCCUUAUAAAAAUUAUAUCUCAUAAGUAUUUUAAGUUUUGUUUACAAAAUUUAAGUUUACACAUAAAAUUAAAUAAAACUUUAAAAGAAGAUUUAAAAUAUUUAAAACUAGAUUUAGAUAACAAAAAUAUACAAAAAAACUUAACAAUUUUUUUUUAAGAAAUUACAUGAAGACAUAACUAUUAGACAAAUUUAAAUAUUACAAUGACACUAAUAGUCAGGUAAUUUUAAUCCGGAACCUUUAAAAUUUCCAAAUAUUGUCCAAUUUUUUUUGUGUAAUUGAAGAUGAUUGUUGUUGUUGAUGAUGUCUUUUCGUACAAUUAUUUCUUGUUCUUAUAUUCACGAGUAUUAAUAUCAUCGAUAAAAGUUAGUUUUUAGCAAUAUUUUAUGUUUUUCUUUUACUUUCUUGUUCUGAUCUAAUGUAUUUACAAGUAUGAAUAUCUCCUGAUUUCAACAAUUUUUUAUCUCUAAUCUACAAAUUAAAAAUGAGGAGAGCUAUUUUUCCUUCGAAAUGCACUAGUAUAUCAUAUAUGCAUUACGAAAAUCGCUUUAUGGAAUAAUAUGGUAUUUUGGUUGAAGCUUAAUAUUAAUUAAGUUAUUUUGUUUAAAAUUUUAUAUUUUAAUAUAAUAAUUUAUUAAUUAAUAUUGUUGUAAUAUGUUUAUAUAUGUGUUAGUUAUUUAAUUUUUUUUUAUGAAUUCAAAUUAGUAAUGACAAAUAUAAGGACCAUAUUAUAAAAUACAAAUAGUUUUGAAGUUAAGUUUGAAGUUUUGCUUUUGGAGAAAAACACCUUUAAACUUCAAAUAUAGAGUUUUGAAAACUUCAAAAUAGAGUUCAUUUUUGGAGACGCUCUUACAAGCCAUUUUUCAAUUUAUGUGUUGUGUGGUUUGAUUAUAUUGGAUGAAUUCAAAUAUAUUUUCAAAGCAUCAAAUGCUUUAUUUUCUUUUUGGUAAAUUUCAGUUAAGCUCUAGAUAACGACAAAAGAUAACUAUAUUCUAAACCUGAUUUCUAUAACUAGAGCUCUCUUCCAAUGAUAAAACUAAACACCUAUACAAAACCCAAAUUUUGCGGCAGGGCCAAGUUAAGAAAGACAAAUACCGAGAAGUGAGUUAACUUCAACAAAUGUAAAAGAACAUUAAAAUUUUAAAAUAAUAGAAAAUGAUAAACAAAAGCAAAGACGAUGGACCACACACAAAAUAAUAGCAAGUGAGCAGGACGAAAAAUGGAAAAAGAAGAAGAAAGGGAUAAGAAAAAUAGUUGGUAAAAUCUAACUGCCACAAUACUAGAAAAAGAGCAUAGAAAUGGGAAGGCAAACAGAGAAGCCUAAUUGGCUAAUGUCCAACGCAUGUCACUCUACCUACAAAUCUCAGUGGUCCUUAACAUCUACUUCUAACCAACCUCUUGAGUACAAUUAUCUAGAAAAUGCAUACAUACACAUAAGUCACGUAACAAAACCAUUACUGACAUCACCAUGUUAUAUCAUCAUGCCUUUAUGAAAUUAACAAACAUUGUUUUAGUCGUGAUAUACAGAAGAUAACAGCUAUCGGACCAAUAAUCUGCCUUGAUGAUAGGAGAUAUUUUUCGUACCAAUUGUUUAUUUUUAAUAUUUUACUUACCAUCCUUUAUUUUUGGGACGCGGAGAAUUUCAUGUAACAAAGAGCUCAAGACCAGAUGGUAAGGCCCCUUGCUUCCCUAGUGUGUGGGUGGGUUUUUGUUUUUGAAGAAACAAUAUUUAUGAGAAGAUGUCACUUUCUAAAAUUCUUAUUGGAUUAGGUAUUUUUUGGAACUGCGUUAUUAAAAACUACCCACUUUUUACAAUCUGUUCAUUAAAAACUUGUCAAAAAUAUGUUCUGGUCUAUCAAAACUUGCUCAUCACUUAGUAAUAAUGCUCCUUUUUAACUAAACACUUAAACUUAGUCGAUUAGAAACCAAACUAGUAUAUAUUUUGCACAUAUAUAUAUCUUACAAGUAACUCAUCCAUAGACAAGUUUAUAGGUGCUAGAUCUCGAAGCUGGACAUGUUUUGAUAGAACAUAACGUACUUUUGAACAAGUUCUGAUAGAAAAUAUCAAAAGUGGUAGUUUCUAAUACUUUUUUUUCUUAAUAUGGUAGAUCCAAAAGAUUUUGUUUUAAAAGGGCUAAAUGAGGAAAAACCUAAAUAGUGUAAUAAAAUAAUUAUACAAGAGGAAUUUAACACUUUUGAUUUAUUGUAGUACUGAUUCAUUGUAACGUCUUGAUGCGUCAACGUGAGCCCAUGUACAUAUUCUUAUCAAUGGGUUUCACCCUCUUCGAUAUCUUGCGCGUUAUCGAAAGAGUUCAAAAGAACUGAUAUAACCCUGUAACAUGAUCAUAUCCCAUAUUUUGUCCUAACUCAUACGAUAUUAAGAUUGAUCAGCAAUCAGCAAUCUGAUAGGUUAUCCAUUUUUUAAUUAGUCCAGUUCAAACAUAUUCAAAUGGUUAACUGGAAAAUCAAGUGUAUUUUAUAUCAGAGGCAACCAACAUCAAUUUUUAUGUCUUUUCUAUUUAAUCUACUAACUGGGGUAUUACGUACGUUGAUCCCACAGUCCGCAAUAGCAUCUCCAGCUACUGAGACUCUAACCCUACCUUAACUUCUGACAUGCUUUUUUGGUUUUCAACUUCUUAAGACCUAGUCUGCUUGAUAUCACGGAUUGCGAUCUCUUCUUCAACAAUCUCUCUGCAUGAUUGCGAUCUCUUCCUCCUCUAUGCUGUUUAUACUUGGACAAAGUAUUUUCUUCUAUUGAAGUAUAAAAUCUAUGGGUCUUUGCCCGUAGCAAACACUAUCUGGCCUGGGCUGUAUCAUCUUUGUAUCUUUUUAUUUAAAUAGCAAACUUAUCCUCAAAAACAAAUAUACCACCAUAAUUACAAAUUACAAUAUCGGCCUAAUCAUUUUCAAUAUGUUAGAUGAAGCCCAGUAUAUUCAACAAGCCCAUUAUAUUUUUAGUCUCGAAUUCAAUUUUAUUAACUCAGAUCCACCUACUCCUACCGGUCAUUAUCCCUUGAAACUCCUGAACAAGAUGGCAUCAGAUCUUACCGGGCGCUUUUAUGUCAGUAGAAGAAGCUUACCUCCAAAUCCUCAGUGUUUAUGUAUGUUUAACGCAGCCAAAACAACACGUUUUGUGUAAUAUUAAUUCCCAGUGUCUUUUUGUUCAUUGUAAUGCCAUUGGUUGUAACAUUAAUGCACAACUUCAACUGAACACUACCAAUAAAAACGUUUGUGAAAAAAGGUAAAUGUUAUUGCCAGUGAUCUAGACUCGUUACCAGUUUUAGGUCGGAAGGAAGCAUCAGUCCCAUUUAGUUUAUGGUUAACACGUUUUUUAGUUGAUUAGUGCGUAAUAAUGACCUGAAAUUAUAGCCUAUUCUCCGCUACAGUUAGAAGCAACGUAGCAUUCUGAUGAAGACUUGAUCUGUUUAAACCACACCUAACCCAUCGUUGCACCAAACUUUCUUUUUUUCAUUCAUACUUCAAGAAAUCUCAAUGCUCCUAAACUCUUUAUAUAACACACACAAUACUUCACCAAUUGUGACUUGGAGCUUCCAUCUCAAACACAAUGGAUUCAACUUCAAUCAUUUGGUCUCUUCUAUUAGCUUUUGCUCUUAUCUCUCCCUUUAGUGUCAAUGCACAAGGACCUGCCGCUUCACCAGCAACCCCCACCACCACUACUCCUCCUCCAACCAUCACUGUUCCUCCACCAACAACCACUGCUACGCCACCAACAACCACUGUUCCCCCCCCAACAACCACUGCUCAGCCUCCAACAACAGUCGUUCCGCCCGUUUCAGCUACUCCGCCACCAGCAACACCGACUACACCUCCACCAGCAGUUACUCCAACUUCAUCACCACCAGCUCCAAAGGUUGCACCAGUAAUCAGUCCAGUAACUCCACCUCCACAACCACCACCAAGCCCGCCCGUUUCAGCUCCAACCGUCUCACCACCACCAGCUACACCACCACCUGCACCGGCCUCUCCUCCACCGGCGUCACCACCUGCACCAACUUCUCCACCACCAGCACCAGCCUCACCCCCUCCAGCGCUUACGCCAAUAACUCUACCACCAGCUCCAGCUCCUGCUAAGCACAAGAAAAAGCACAAACACAAGCGGCAUCACCAUGCCCCGGCUCCAGCACCAACUCCUCCAAGCCCUCCAUCUC